ACCAGAUGACGAGUCCCAAAUAGGACGAAAUGCUGUAUAUCCUGGAU
rnacentral:hammerhead_ribozyme from 1 species